rnacentral:rRNA from 1 species
AAUCAACGCUGGCGGCGUGCCUCAGACAUGCAAGUCGAACGAUUAAAGCUCUCUUCGGAGAGUGCAUAGAGUGGCGCACGGGUGAGUAACACGUAAGUAAUCUACCUCUGAGUGGGGAAUACCAUCGGGAAACCGAUGCUAAUACCGCAUAAUGCAACAGCAUCGCAAGGUGCAGUUGUUAAAGAUUUAUCGCUUGGAGAGGAGCUUGCGGCAGAUUAGCUAGUUGGUAAGGUAAUGGCUUACCAAGGCUACGAUCUGUAACCGGUCUAAGAGGACGGUCGGUCACACUGACACUGAAUAACGGGUCAGACUCCUACGGGAGGCAGCAGCCGGGAAUUUUGGGCAAUGGGCGAAAGCCUGACCCAGCAACGCCGCGUGAAGGAUGAAGUAUUUCGGUAUGUAAACUUCGAAAGAAUGGGAAGAAUAAAUGACGGUACCAUUUAUAAGGUCCGGCUAACUACGUGCCAGCAGCCGCCGCCGUAAC